rnacentral:rRNA from 1 species
UUACUCCUACGGGAGGCAGCAGUAGGGAAUCUUCGGCAAUGGGGGCAACCCUGACCGAGCAACGCCGCGUGAGUGAAGAAGGUCUCGGAUCGUAAAACUCUGUUGUUAGAGAAGAACGUUAAGUAGAGUGGAAAAUACUAAGUGACGGUAUCUAGCAGAAAGAGUUACUC